rnacentral:rRNA from 1 species
UAUUUGAUAGUACCUAUCCUACAUGGAUAACAGUGGUAAUUCUAGAGCUAAUACAUGCUAAAAGCCCCGACUUCGGAAGGGGCGUAUUUAUCAGAAUCAGAACCAAUGCCCUUCGGGGCUCCCUGGUGGCUCAUGAUAACUCCACAGAUCGCAUGGCCUUGCGCCGGCGAUGGCUCAUUCAAAUUUCUUCCCUAUCAACUUUCGACGGUACGGUCUUGGCCUACCGUGGUUGCAACGGGUGACGGAGGGUUAGGGCUCGACCCCGGAGAGGGAGCCUGAGAAACGGCUACCACAUCCAAGGAAGGCAGCAGGCGCGCAAAUUAUCCAAUCCCGACUCGGGGAGAUAGUGACAAUAAAUACCGAUACAGGGCUCUUUUGGGCCCCGUAAUUGGAAUGAGUACAAUUUAAACCUCUUAACGAGGAACAAUUGGAGGGCAAGUCUGGUGCCAGCAGCCGCGGUAAUUCCAGCUCCAAUAGCGUAUAUUAAAGUUGUUGUGGUUAAAAAGCUCGUAGUCGAACCUCGAGCCCGGCCGGCCGGUCCGCCUCACCGCGUGCACUGGUCUGGCCGAGCUCUUCCCUCUGCGGAACCUCAUGUCCUUAACUGGGCGUGCUGGGGAGGCAGGACUUUUACUUUGAAAAAAUUAGAGUGCUCAAGGCAGGCCAAUGCUCGGAUACAUUAGCAUGGAAUAAUAGAAUAGGACGUUGGUUCUAUUUUGUUGGUUUCUAGGACCGCCGUAAUGAUCAAUAGGGACGGUCGGGGGCAUCAGUAUUCAGCCGCGAGAGGUGAAAUUCUUAGACCGGCUGAAGACUAACUACUGCGAAAGCAUUUGCCAAGGACGUUUUCGCUGAUCAGGAACGAAAGUUAGGGGAUCGAAGACGAUCAGAUACCGUCGUAGUCUUAACCAUAAACGGUGCCGACUUGGGAUCGGGCGCUGUUCUCUCUAGACGCGCUCGGCACCAUUCGAGAAAUCAAAGUGCGUGGGCUCCAGGGGGAGUAUGGCGGCAACGCUGAAACUUAAAGAAAUUGACGGAAGGGCACCACCAGGGGUGGAACCUGCGGCUUAAUUUGACUCAACACGGGGAAACUCACCAGGUCCGGACACAAUGAGGAUUGACAGAUUGAGAGCUCUUUCUUGAUUUUGUGGGUGGUGGUGCAUGGCCGUUCUUAGUUGGUGGGGUGACUUGUCUGCCUAAUCGCGAUAACGAACGAGACCUUGACUGCUAAAUAGCACGCGCCGCCUCGGCGGUGUCGCGGCUUCUUAGUGGGACUAUCGGCUCAAGCCGAUGGAAGUUCGAGGCAAUAACAGGUCUGUGAUGCCCUUAGAUGUCCUGGGCCGCACGCGCGUGACACUGACAGAGCCAGCGAGUUCUUCCCUUGGCCGGAAGGCCCGGGUAAUCUUGUGAAACUCCGUCGUGAUGGGGAUAGAGCAUUGCAAUUGUUGCUCUUCAACGAGGAAUCCCUAGUAAGCGCAAGUCAUCAGCUUGCGUUGAUUACGUCCCUGCCCUUUGUACACACCGCCCGUCGCUACUACCGAUUGAAUGGCUCAGUGAGGUUUUCGGACUGGCCCAGGAAGGCGGGAGACUGCUAUCCAGGGCCGGAAAGUUGCCCAAACUCGGUCAUUUAGAGGAAGUAAA